rnacentral:rRNA from 1 species
GACGAACGCUGGCGGCGUGCUUAACACAUGCAAGUCGAACGGAAAGGCCCCUUCGGGGGUACUCGAGUGGCGAACAGGUGAGUAACACGUGAGUAACCUGCCCUUGACUUCGGGAUAACUUCAGGAAACUGGGGCUAAUACCGGAUAGGAAUCCUUGCUGCAUGGUGGGGGUUGGAAAGCUUCGGCGGUUUUGGAUGGACUCGCGGCUUAUCAGCUUGUUGGUGGGGUAGUGGCUUACCAAGGCUUUGACGGGUAGCCGGCCUGAGAGGGCGACCGGCCACAUUGGGACUGAGAUACGGCCCAGACUCCUACGGGAGGCAGCAGUGGGGAAUACUGCACAAUGGGCGGAAGCCUGAUGCAGCAACGCCGCGUGCGGGAUGACGGCCUUCGGGUUGUAAACCGCUUUCAGCAGGGGCGAAGCUUGUGGUGACGGUACCUGCAGAAGAAGCACCGGCUAACUACGUG